rnacentral:pre_miRNA from 1 species
UCUCUGGGCCUGAUCCAAAGUCUAUUGAAGUCUAUGAGAUUCUUUUCAUGGACUUCAAGGGGCUUUGGAUCUGGCCCUAUGUGG